UACAGAGGGUGCAAGCGUUGUUCGGAAUUACUGGGCGUAAAGCGCGUGUAGGUGGCGAUGUAAGUCGGGUGUGAAAUCCCUCAGCUUAACUGAGGAAGUGCACUCGAUACUGUGUCGCUUGAGUGUUGGAGGGGAUGGCGGAAUUCCCGGUGUAGAGGUGAAAUUCGUAGAUAUCGGGAGGAACACUUGUGGCGAAGGCGGCCAUCUGGACAACUACUGACACUGAGGCGCGAAAGCGUGGGUAGCAAACAGG
rnacentral:rRNA from 1 species